rnacentral:rRNA from 1 species
CCUACGGGUGGCUGCAGUGGGGAAUAUUGGACAAUGGGGGGAACCCUGAUCCAGCCAUGCCGCGUGUGUGAAGAAGGCCCUCGGGUUGUAAAGCACUUUCAGUGAGGAAGAACGCCUGGUGGUUAAUACCCAUCAGGAAAGACAUCACUCACAGAAGAAGCACCGGCUAACUCCGUGCCAGCAGCCGCGGUAAUACGGAGGGUGCGAGCGUUAAUCGGAAUUACUGGGCGUAAAGCGCGCGUAGGUGGCUUGAUAAGCCGGUUGUGAAAGCCCCGGGCUCAACCUGGGAACGGCAUCCGGAACUGUCAAGCUAGAGUGCAGGAGAGGAAGGUAGAAUUCCCGGUGUAGCGGUGAAAUGCGUAGAGAUCGGGAGGAAUACCAGUGGCGAAGGCGGCCUUCUGGACUGACACUAACACUGAGGUGCGAAAGCGUGGGUAGCAAACAGGAUUAGAUACCCCAGUAGUC